GCAGAACGCGAAGAACCUUACCAGCCCUUGACAUGGCAGGACGGUUUCCGGAGACGGAAUCCUUCACUUCGGUGACCUGCACACAGGUGCUGCAUGGCUGUCGUCAGCUCGUGUCGUGAGAUGUUGGGUUAAGUCCCGCAGCGAGCGCAACCCUCGCCCUUAGUUGCCAUCAUUUAGUUGGGCACUCUAGGGGGACUGCCGGUGAUAAGCCGGAGGAAGGUGGGGAUGACGUCAAGUCUUCAUGGCCCUUACGGGCUGGGCUACACACGUGCUACAAUGGCGGUGACAAAGAGCAGCUACUGCGCGAGCAGGUGCUAAUCUCAAAAAGCCGUCUCAGUUCGGAUUGCACUCUGCAACUCGGGUGCAUGAAGUCGGAAUCGCUAGUAAUCGCAGAUCAGCACGCUGCGGUGAAUACGUUCCCGGGUCUUGUACACACCG
rnacentral:rRNA from 1 species